UUUUCCUACGGGGCGCAGCAGUGAGGAAUAUUGGUCAAUGGGCGGAAGCCUGAACCAGCCAAGUAGCGUGUAGGAUGACGGCCUUACGGGUUGUAAACUGCUUUUAUACGGGAAUAACGCGCCUUACGUGUAGGGCUUUGCAUGUACCGUAUGAAUAAGGACUGGCUAAUUCCGUGCCAGCAGCCGCGGUAAUACGGAAGGUCCGGUCGUUAUCCGGAUUUAGUGGGUUUAAAGGGAGCGUAGGCCGCAUGUCAAGCGUGCUGUGCACUGUCCGGGCUCAACCCGG
rnacentral:rRNA from 1 species